UUCCCCAAAAAAUUCAUUAGAUGUCAAAUAGGGGCUCAAGUAGAUAGGUAACUGUACAUUGUUGUUUUGGAGCAUGACAGUGCAUUCUCCCUGAUUAACAGAUGCAGGCGCUAUAUAGGAUAGGAAGGGGUGAGUUACCACCGAUUCCCAUUUCUCUUUCCAGCGAUGCACGUGAUUUUAUCCUUAAAUGUCUACAAGUUGAUGCAAGUGCACGUCCGACAGCAUCUCUGCUCUUGGAUCAUCCCUUUGUGAAGCGACCACUGCCAGCAUCUUUGGGCUCGGCUUCUCCUUACAAUUUUGGCCAGCGGAUUUAAGAAAUUCUUUUGAGAUUAAUUCUUUUUCCUUCCAUGGGCACAAAAAAUGAAAAGAGCGAAGGAGGAAAAAAGGAAAAACUAAGUGACCCCAAAAAAAUACGGCUAGAUGUUCCCCAGACGAGUAAUGCCAUCUACCAUCAGUCAUCAUCAUCAUCAGUCUAGGUGGCAGUUUGGCAAUUGGACAACGAAUCAAGGGCCCGCUAUCACUUAGACUAUUGAUGAUCAUUACUGAUGAUAUAUAGCAUUAUUCUCCCCAGAUAGAGCACUUCAUGCACUCCGCUUGGUGACGAAUGCUCUUCCACCGGAUUCUUUCCUUCCGAGUUCGACUCUCAUCCUCUUAUUGGACUAUCGACUAUCUGUCAGUUUCCAGAUUCUUAUUGUGCAUACAGGAGAUGUUCAAAACUUUCUUGACUAUCUCGGGGAAGGCUCAUUUUAAAUUUUUUAUUUGCUGCUUGUGGAAGAAAUUUUUCCUUCCCAAACAGUUACCAUGCAAUUAUUUUCUUGUUUGCUAGGGUGCUGUUUAGUUGUUCAACUUCUUUCUUACGGUUCUGUAUUUAGCAAUCAUCAAAUAUAAAUGUAUAUAGUCAAUCGUCUA